rnacentral:rRNA from 1 species
UUUUUUGUGGAGAGUUUGAUCCUGGCUCAGGACGAACGCUGGCGGCAUGCCUAACACAUGCAAGUCGAACGGAGAGCUGAAGUUUCGAUGGAGGCUCUUAGUGGCGGACGGGUGAGUAACGCGUGGAUAACCUGCCUGAGAGUGGGGGAUAACAGCCCGAAAGGGCUGCUAAUACCGCAUAAUGUUCCUGGAGGACAUCCUUCGGGAACCAAAGGAGCAAUCCGCUCUUGGAUGGGUCCGCGUCCGAUUAGCUAGUUGGUGAGGUAACGGCCUACCAAGGCGACGAUCGGUAGCCGGCCUGAGAGGGUGAACGGCCACACUGGGACUGAGACACGGCCCAGACUCCUACGGGAGGCAGCAGUGGGGAAUCUUCCGCAAUGGGCGAAAGCCUGACGGAGCAAUGCCGCGUGGGGGAUGAAGGUCUUCGGAUUGUAAACCCUUGUCUUCGGGGAAGAAGUUUUGACGGUACCCGAGGAGGAAGCCCCGGCUAACUACGUGCCAGCAGCCGCGGUAAUACGUAGGGGGCAAGCGUUGUCCGGAAUGACUGGGCGUAAAGCGCGUGCAGGCGGA